rnacentral:rRNA from 1 species
CCCUUAGAUGUUCUGGGCUGCACGCGCGCUACACUGAUGCAUCCAACAAGUUUUUUCCUUGUUCGAGAGGACUAGGCAAUCUUAUGAGAAUGCAUCGUGAUGGGGAUAGAUUAUUGCAAUUAUUAAUCUUCAACGAGGAAUUCCUAGUAAGCGCGAGUCAUCAGCUCGUGCUGAUUACGUCCCUGCCCUUUGUACACACCGCCCGUCGCUGCAACUGAUUGGGUGACCUGGUGAACAUCUUGGACCGGCCCACUCAAUUUCGAGAGGACUGGAAAAGGCCGUAAAUCAGGUACAUCUAGAAAUUGCAAAAGUCGUAACA